rnacentral:siRNA from 1 species
GUCCAUAUGGGCAAGUCCAUGGU